rnacentral:tRNA from 1 species
AAAUAAGAAGUAAAAAAUUACAUAUUAAUUUCGACUUAAUAAUAGAUUAAAAAAAUCCUUAUUUU